UGGGGGAUAUUGCACAAUGGGCGAAAGCCUGAUGCAGCGACGCCGCGUGGGGGAUGAAGGCCUUCGGGUUGUAAACUUCUUUUGCUCUGAACAAGGCGCACCAUGGGGUGUGUUGAGUGUAGGGGUUGAUUAGCGCCGGCUAACUACGUGCCAGCAGCCGCGGUAAUACGUAGGGCGCGAGCGUUGUCCGGAAUUAUUGGGCGUAAAGGGCUUGUAGGUGGCUGUUUGCGUCUGUCGUGAAAGCUCAUGGCUUAACUGUGGGUUUGCGGUGGGUACGGGCUGGCUUGAGUGCAGUAGGGGAGGCUGGAAGUCCUGGUGUAGCGGUGGAAUGCGCAGAUAUCAGGAGGAAUACCGGUGGCGAAGGCGGGUCUCUGGGCUGUUACUGACACUGAGGAGCGAAAGCAUGGGGAGCGAACAGG
rnacentral:rRNA from 1 species